CAUGUGUUCGGCACUUAAACUGUAUAUACUACUGGGAAGAGCUGGAUUAUUCAUCAGGAGAAACUGAGAAAUUGAGUUGAAAAUGCCAAAUCAGGCAGGCAGAUGGAAUUAUCUCCUGUGGCAGUCACUCCUUUAAAAAAAAAAAAAAAUUUUUUUUCCUCUCACUUCCUCAUACAUGCAAACAAGGAAGCAAACGCUCUCCAAGUUUCACAAGAAAAGAGUAAGAAGUCAAAAAUACCAUGACCACUGAAAGACAAUUCAAAUAUAGAAAGUUUGGUGGACCCAUUCUUCAAGAAUGUGUUCAGCUUUUCUGAGGUCAAGAGGUUCUUCCGACGUACCGAGGCAGACUCCUGAGUUCUUAUCCAUUGUCACUCAGAAAGGUAUGGACAGACAUAGCCCAGAGUUGUGGCAGCCAUUAAUAGAUCAAGCAAGCCCAUGCAGCUGUGUUUUGAUCAGUGGAAAGGUUUCUGGCAUCCAAGAGCUGAAAUCACCUUUUGGGUCAUCACACCUCACUGGAGGUUUCCCUGCUUUAACGAGCAUCUCAGAAACCACAGAGAGGACUGGAGAAUGGGGGUCAUUGUACAUUCUUGUAUUUGAAAGCAGCUCCAUAGCAUCCGCAAAAGGAUUCUUGGCACCUGCCUAG
rnacentral:lncRNA from 1 species